rnacentral:rRNA from 1 species
CCUACGGGAGGCAGCAGUGAGGAAUAUUGGUCAAUGGACGAGAGUCUGAACCAGCCAAGUAGCGUGAAGGAUGACUGCCCUAUGGGUUGUAAACUUCUUUUAUAUGGGAAUAAAAUGUUCCACGUGUGGGAUUUUGUAUGUACCAUAUGAAUAAGGAUCGGCUAACUCCGUGCCAGCAGCCGCGGUAAUAUGGAGGAUCCGAGCGUUAUCCGGAUUUAUUGGGUUUAAAGGGAGCGUAGGUGGAUUGUUAAGUCAGUUGUGAAAGUUUGCGGCUCAACCGUAAAAUUGCAGUUGAAACUGGCAGUCUUGAGUACAGUAGAGGUGGGCGGAAUUCGUGGUGUAGCGGUGAAAUGCUUAGAUAUCACGAAGAACUCCGAUUGCGAAGGCAGUUCACUGGACUGCAACUGACACUGAGGCUCGAAAGUGUGGGUAUCAAACAGGAUUAGAUACCCGAGUAGUC